rnacentral:misc_RNA from 1 species
UCUAGUUGUGCUCUCUCUCUUCUGUCAUCUCAGUCCCAUAAUUAUUCAAGCCAUUCAUCCGGAAUUUCUAUGGCCUGUCCAUUGGUUGUUCCAGGAAGCAGUACCCAUUAUAGUGUGACUCAAGUCUCUGAAAAGCUUACAGGAGUUAGUUCUCAGGCUUCCACAAGCGGGGUACCAAACAAUUUCUCUUCAUCAGGAACGAGUUCUGCAGAAGUAAGCCACUUAGGCUCCAUACCGAUAUCUGAUGGUAGUGAUGCCAUUAAUUUUGAUAUCACUGAUGGGAUUUACCAGGGGUCAAAUUUUAUGAAUGCCAAGGAUCAUCUUUCCUGUGAAGAUGGCAC